rnacentral:rRNA from 1 species
CACGGGGGGAGCAAGCGUUGUUCGGAAUUACUGGGCGUAAAGGGCUCGUAGGUGGCCAACUAAGUCACACGUGAAAUCCCUCGGCUUAACCGGGGAACUGCGUGUGAUACUGGAUGGCUUGAGUUUGGGAGAGGGAUGCGGAAUUCCAGGUGUAGCGGUGAAAUGCGUAGAUAUCUGGAGGAACACCGGUGGCGAAGGCGGCAUCCUGGACCGGCAUUGACGCUGAGGCGCGAAAGCCAGGGGAGCAAACGGG